rnacentral:lncRNA from 1 species
CUGGGAUAGCACGGUACAUUAGAAAAGGAAUAAACUCAAGAGUUCCAGGACUAGGUGCCUUGGGAGAGAGUCUUCCUUAAUCCCAACUGGCCCUGGUAUCAUGAUGUCAUCCAGAGGCCACUCUGAAACCGACUCAGAUGAUGUAGCCUUCACUGCAAGAAUUUGUUUGUACCAGCUCUAUGCCAUACACUGUGAUAGACACACCAGACGUGGAAGUGAGAAAUACGGUUCCCAUCUUGGAUAGCAAAGAAGAUGGACAAAUAAACCAACAAAUUAAACACAGAAAAAUGUUUUCUAAAGGAAGGAGGUUUCUUGAAGGAAGUGGUACUUCUGUUGAAAUAUGAAAGAUGAGUGAGGGUUAGUCACAUACAGAAAGGGAGAAGGGAGUAUCCAAUGUAGAUAGAACAGCAUAUGAAAAGCACAGAGAUGUGAGAGAGCAGGUAGGCAUUGCUGUAAAUCCAGGUGGAUGUAAAAAAAAAUCAGAGCCUUGCAGGAACUAGGUUGUAGAAAGCUCUGUGGACUAAGUUUAGUUGGUUUAACUUUAUCCUAAAAGUCACAGGAAAAUAUUAAAGAUGUUUAAAAAGAAAAAAAACAGAUUUUCAUUUUAUUAACAAAACAUAACUCUGGCAGCAGGUGUGGAAAAUGGAUGGAGGGGCCAAGACCAGAAGAAAGACACCUGUUACUGAAGCAAUGCAGAUGGGAAAUGAUGGAGACCUAGAUGUAGACCAUGCCAGCAAAGACGGAGGGGCAGAAUUGAGUACUACUUGUAGAACUAAUGUAACUUACAGGAUGAUUAGAUACAUAGAAAGGAGACUAACUCAAUCCUUUAUUUUUCUUCCUUUUUCAAAAGUUUUUUUUAAGACUAUAUUACUAUAUUUUCCCCAUUCCCUCCAUUCUUAAUAUGACAGUUAGCUAAUUUUACUUGAAUACCUAUGUCUUAUUCUUUACCAACACCACUAAGCAGCAGCAUCUCCCUAUCACCACCACAACAAGCAGCAAGUGUUUAUGGAGCACCUCUUACUAAAUUAUCCUUUGUCUUGUUUUGUGACAAAUUUACAUUCCUCUCUGCUUUACUUUUGCUUUAUCCUGUAUUUUUCAUUGUUCUGUGGUUUAGCGUGUAUUUUCUUCUGCUCUUCCAGGACCGUAGGAUUUCAGAGCUUGUUACUUAAGUUCUCAGGUUUUUGAUAUGUACUUGGAAUUUUAUUUUUUACUACUUUCUCAAAGUAAUGCUCCACAAAUAUUUCUUAUGUAAUUCCAAUGCAUCUAAAGAGAUUUAGCAUUUGAGUUUUAUGUUAAAUCAAUAAAUGGAUUAAAGCCAUAAUUAGCAAUCACCAACUUUUAUCUGGAAAUAAACUGAAA